AGCUCCAAUAGCGUAUAUUAAAGUUGUUGCGGUAAAAAAGCUCGUAGUUGGAUUUCUGUUGAGGAUGGCCGGUCCAUACCACGUAUGCGCAUCUGGUUUUUCAUCCUCGGCAUCCUCUCGAAAUACGUCUCUGUGCUUGAUUGCAUGGAACGGAGUUCGGGACUUUUACUUUGAGGAAAUUAGAGUGUUCACGGCAGGCUAUCGCCCGAAUACGUUAGCAUGGAAUAAUGAUAUAGGGUCUCGAUUCUAUUUUGUUGGUUUCUAGGAUUGGGAUAAUGAUUAAUAGGGACAAUUGGGGGCAUUCGUAUCAACACGUCAGAGGUGGAAUUCUUGGAUUGUGUUGCGACGAACUACUGCGAAAGCAUUUGCCAAAGAUGUUUUCA
rnacentral:rRNA from 1 species